GAAAUGCGAUAAGUAGUGUGAAUUGCAGAAUUCAGUGAAUCAUCGAAUCUUUGAACGCACAUUGCGCCCUUUGGUAUUCCAAAGGGCAUGCCUGUUCGAGCGUCAUUUGUACCCUCAAGCUCUGCUUGGUGUUGGGCGUCUUUGUCUUCCCAGAAGACUCGCCUUAAAGUCAUUGGCAGCCGGCCUACUGGUUUCGGAGCGCAGCACAAGUCGCGCUCUCUUCCAGCCAAGGUCAGCGUCCACAAAGCCCUUUUUCAACUUUUGACCUCGGAUCAGGUAGGGAUACCCGCUGAACUUAAGC
rnacentral:misc_RNA from 1 species